AUACAUGUGAUGAAGCAAAUCAGUAUGAUAAACUCAUGAUACUGUAAACGCUUUCUGAUGUA
ensembl:snoRNA